UACAGAGGUCCCAAGCGUUGUUCGGAUUCAUUGGGCGUAAAGGGUGCGUAGGUGGCGUCGUAAGUCGGGUGUGAAAUCUCGGGGCUUAACUCCGAAACUGCAUUCGAUACUGCGGUGCUUGAGGACUGGAGAGGAGACUGGAAUUUACGGUGUAGCAGUGAAAUGCGUAGAGAUCGUAAGGAAGACCAGUGGCGAAGGCGAGUCUCUGGACAGUUACUGACGCUGAGGCACGAAGGCCAGGGAGCAAACGGG
rnacentral:rRNA from 1 species